rnacentral:rRNA from 1 species
UACGUAGGGGGCAAGCGUUAUCCGGAAUUACUGGGUGUAAAGGGUGCGUAGGCGGCAAUGCAAGUCAGUCGUGAAAGGUAUGGGCUUAACCCGUAAACUGCGAUUGAAACUGCAUAGCUAGAGUGCAGGAGAGGAAAGCGGAAUUCCUAGUGUAGCGGUGAAAUGCGUAGAUAUUAGGAAGAACACCAGUGGCGAAGGCGGCUUUCUGGACUGCAACUGACGCUGAGGCACGAAAGCGUGGGGAGCAAACA